rnacentral:rRNA from 1 species
AUGAACGCUAGCGACAGGCCUAACACAUGCAAGUCGAGGGGCAGCACAAGGAGCAAUCUGAGGUGGCGACCGGCGCACGGGUGAGUAGCACGUAUGCAACCUGCCUGUAAGCGGGGAAUAACCCGUUGAAAGACGGACUAAUACCGCAUAAUACUAAAUUACUGCAUGGUAAUUUAUUUAAACAUUUAUGGCUUACAGAUGGGCAUGCGCAUGAUUAGCUAGUUGGAGAGGUAACGGCUCCCCAAGGCAACGAUCAUUAGGGGUUCUGAGAGGAAGGUCCCCCACACUGGUACUGAGACACGGACCAGACUCCUACGGGAGGCAGCAGUGAGGAAUAUUGGUCAAUGGACGAGAGUCUGAACCAGCCAAGUCGCGUGCAGGAAGAAUGUCCCUAUGGAUUGUAAACUGCUUUUGCAGGGGAAUAAAGUGCAUCACGUGUGAUGUUUUGUAUGUACUCUGCGAAUAAGGAUCGGCUAACUCCGUGCCAGCCGCGGC